rnacentral:lncRNA from 1 species
CUCCCUUGUUUUGACUGGCAGGUCGAUGGGGGCGGGGCUUGCACUGUCGCCUGAGGACCAAGGAGGGGGCGGUGACAGCCAGAGAAGGAAGAAGAGGCUGUCCAGUCGAGGCUUUGAGCGGCUCAGCAGCACACAGAUAAAAGCACAGGGCUGCAGAAAAAGCGGUCUUCACGGCAUGCUCAGCUCCAAGCUGGCCGGCGAUGUGACUCAGCUCAAACAGAAAGCCCAGUGUAAAAAGAUUCUCUCGGGGUCGGGCUCCAGAGACAAGGAGGUUUCGCCCUGCAACUCCAACCCCAAGCAUGGACACAGAAACCAGUCCGCUGGCAAAGCAGAGUCCAGGCGAGAGUCUGGGGGACAAAGUGACACAGCAGCCAGUGUGGACAGUAGCCCCCAAGACAGCUGGACUGGACUUGUGCACCACGGACGUAAAAAGGGAUCCUCCACCCUGACACAGGGCUCGUCCCGGCUGAGCCAGCCAAGAGCGAGAGAUCACCGCCAGAGACGUGACGCGAUGGAGGAGGAAGAGAGCUCCCCCGUAGAGAGUGGCUCCUCUGAUCAAGAAGAGGAAGAAGAAGAAGGCAGUUAUGAUACUGAUGAAGGUCGAGACUACCGAGCCCAGCCCCGAAGAGAAGUCACCUCGAGCUCCUCCGUGACAGGUCCGAGUCCCUCAUCUGUUGUAAAACUGGAGGCCAACCAGAAAGCCAGGAACAAAAAACAGAGACAGGAGCUUUAUGGCUCACAGAGUCUGUCUGGAGCCGAAGGGGAGGUCAAAGUAAGGAAGAAGCCCCCCUGCAGGCUGGGCCUGGCCACUGCAGUCAAAAACCGCCGUGAAGAUCACCGGUCUGAGGGGGUGAGAAGGCCAUGUGGACCCAGGUCUAAAGAGCCUCGGUGGGGCAGUCUUGGGACCAGAGGCAACCGCUACCGGAGGAGCAUGGGACUGGCCACCUUCCCGACCACCAGUGAGAGACUAAAAAGGGCGACCCGCAAGAGCACCAUGUUGAGAGGAG